UGUGUCUCCAAUGUCUCAUACAGUCUAGCUGAGGUGGAGUUGGUCAGUUUGAAAGGCUUCAAGUGUCUGGUUACAGAUGCAUUCAAUCACAAAUAUAAUUCAUUACAAGAAGUCAGAGAACAAGAUAAAGAAUGUGAUGAUGUUUUUGUUGAUGCAGUGCGAUGCCAAAAAGCAACUACACUUG